rnacentral:lncRNA from 1 species
AUCCGUUAUAGACCAUGGAUUUUGCUGCUGCAUAAUAAACAUAACAGAACCUGCAAACUCCAAGUAUAACUUCAAAAGAGACCAAGCACAAUAAAUGAUAAAAGGCAAAGAUAACAAUACAUACCUAAGAGUUUGGUUCCUUGAUUAGUAGUACUUUUAGUAGCUAUGAUGAUUUAGAACCACACUAAAUACAUUACCAUCAUCAAGCAACUAAAUAAUUAGCACAAACGAGAGAAAUUAAGAAACACAUAUUUCAGUAAGAUGAAAAUUCGAAGAUAUAAUUUGCAGGAAAUUAAACUCACCACUUUUUACGUUCUUCAGUUACACGCCAUCAUAGAACAAAAAUUAAAUGCUUCUGAAAGUUCCAAAAAUCACAAGAAAUUAUGAAAAUUAUACAGAUAAUCCUCAAAACCGUAUACUGUGGUUAUGACAUAUAUAAGUUUCUUUCUUCAAGCAACGAGGAUUUUAAACAAUAUGUAACAUAGAAAAAAAAAAUGUAAACCAAAAUGAACACAUCGAUGCUGAAAAAAUCUAAC